rnacentral:rRNA from 1 species
GUCUAUCCUGCCCACUGAGGAUUUAAAGGGCCGCGGUAAACUAACUGUGCAAAGGUAGCAUAAUCAUUAGCUUUUUAAUUGAAGGCUUGUAUGAAUGGUUGGACAAGAAUUAAACUGUCUUUAUAUUUUGAAAUUUAAUUUUACUUUUAAGUGAAAAGGCUUAAAUGUUUUUAAGGGACGAUAAGACCCUAUAAAUCUUUAUGGGAAGCAUUUUAAUUAGAAUAAUAAAAGUUAAAACUUUAAUUAAAUUAUUUACCAUUGUGCUGGGGCGGCGUUAAUAUUUAAUAAACUGUUAAUCUUUUUUACAAAUAACUUGUCUAUUUAAUUGAUCUUUUUUAAAAAUAAAGAGUUUAAGUUACUUUAGGGAUAACAGCAUAAUUUCUUUUAAGAGUUCUUAUCGAAAAAGAAGUUUGUGACCUCGAUGUUGAAUUAAAUUUUCUCUGUGGUGCAGCAGUUACUUUAAGAUAGUC